rnacentral:rRNA from 2 species
UCUGGUGUCAGCCGCCGCGGUAAAACCAGCACCUCAAGUGGUCGGGAUGAUUAUUGGGCCUAAAGCGUCCGUAGCUCGUUUUGUAAGUUUUCGGUUAAAUCCAUGCGCUCAACGUAUGGGCUGCCGGGAAUACUGCAUAACUAGGAAGUGGGAGAGGUAGACGGUACUCGGUAGGAAGGGGUAAAAUCCUUUGAUCUAUUGAUGACCACCUGUGGCGAAGGCGGUCUACCAGAACACGUUCGACGGUGAGGGAUGAAAGCUGGGGGAGCAAACCGGAUUAGAUACCCGGGUAGUCCCAGCUGUAAACUAUGCAAACUCAGUGAUGCAUUGGCUUGUGGCCAAUGCAGUGCCGCAGGGAAGCCGUUAAGUUUGCCGCCUGGGAAGUACGGACGCAAGUCUGAAACUUAAAG